rnacentral:lncRNA from 1 species
UAGGGGCUAAACGGUGACAGACUGAAAUAAAGUCGCACUGAAACUAAGGGAUGCGAAUUGCAGCUGCCUCCAUCACUUAACCAAUGUUUCCUGUUGGGCACCAACUAAAGGUGCAUUUGAUUAGCUAUUAAAAAAAUAUUUUUAUUUAUUUUUAAUUUUUUAAAAAUAAAAUUAAAAAAUAAUGUUCGAUAACAUCAUAAAAAGUAAAAAUCAAAAAUUAAAAAAAUUAAAAUAAUUACUUUAUAUACAAAACAAAAAUUUUUACUCUCAAAAAUUUAUUUUUUAUUUUUUUACUUUUUCACAUCUAAAAUAUCUAAUUAAAAAGUAAAGAGCCCAAAUCCUUCUCUCCUC